UGAAGUAAAAGGNUAUGGCUCAACCAUAGUGUGCUCUGGAAACUGUCUGACUUGAGUGCAGAAGGGGAGAGUGGAAUUCCAUGUGUAGCGGUGAAAUGCGUAGAUAUAUGGAGGAACACCAGUGGCGAAAGCGGCUCUCUGGUCUGUCACUGACGCUGAGGCUCGAAAGCGUGGGUAGCGAACAGGAUUAGAUACCCUGGUAGUCCACGCCGUAAACGAUGAGUGCUAGGUGUUAGGCCCUUUCCGGGACUUAGUGCCGGAGCUAACGCAAUAAGCACUCCGCCUGGGGAGUACGACCGCAAGGUUGAAACUCAAAGGAAUUGACGGGGGCCCGCACAAGCGGUGGAGCAUGUGGUUUAAUUCGAAGCAACGCGAAGAACCUUACCAGGUCUUGACAUCCCGAUGCUAUUCUUAGAGAUAGGAAGUUACUCCGGUACAUCGGAGACAGGUGGUGCAUGGUUGUCGUCAGCUCGUGUCGUGAGAUGUUGGGUUAAGUCCCGCAACGAGCGCAACCCUUAUUGUUAGUUGCCAUCAUUAAGUUGGGCACUCUAGCGAGACUGCCGGUAAUAAACCGGAGGAAGGUGGGGAUGACGUCAAAUCAUCAUGCCCCUUAUGACCUGGGCUACACACGUGCUACAAUGGUCGGUACAACGAGUUGCGAGCCGGUGACGGCAAGCUAAUCUCUGAAAGCCGAUCUCAGUUCGGAUUGGAGGCUGCAACUCGCCUCCAUGAAGUCGGAAUCGCUAGUAAUCGCGGAUCAGCACGCCGCGGUGAAUACGUUCCCGGGCCUUGUACACACCGCCCGUCACACCACGAGAGUUUGUAACACCCGAAGUCGGUGAGGUANCCUUUUAGGG
rnacentral:rRNA from 1 species